AGCAUUGUACUUUAUUUGUUACAUAUUGCCAUUUGUGGUAAGGUGUAAAUACGUUGUUAUUAUGAGCACAUAACUUUUUCUAUGUUGCUAUUAUUUGUAAAGUGAAUGUUAGUAUAUUACUAUUAUGAUAUGAGAUAGAUAUUUGCCAUUAUUCGUAAACAAAAAAUGCAUGUACAUUUUUGUUAUUGGUAAAUUAGAGUAAAUAUAUUUCUAUUAUGUGUGAAAAGUAAAGUAUUAGUAAAAAGAGUAAAAGCCGUUGCUACUUUCUACAAUCUCCCCUAACUUAUAUGCAAGAUUGAAAAUUGCAUUUACCGUUUCUUAUGUUACUAUAUAUGCAGAGUCACGUACUUCAGUUUCUUGGGUUGCACGAUUAAAAAUAGCAAUAGGAGCAGCCGAAGGCCUGGCCUAUUUACAUAAAAGGAACCAACCAGCAUAUAGCCAAUUUAAGACCAAUCUUAUAUUGGUGGAUAAGGAUUUUAAUGCUCGGCUUUCAGAUUUUGCUUUCGUUACUCAAAACUUCCAAUUGGAUGCAUAUUAUUAUGCAGCCCCCGAGUCGUUUUGUUACCAAUCAAACACAUUUGAUGGUCUUCACCCACUGUGGCUACCCGAAGAUGGUUUUGCAAUCAAGAGUGAAGUAUAUGCUUUUGGAGUGGUAUUGUUAGAAAUACUAACAGGGAUGAAGGUGUAUGAUAAGAGGAGACCCCUUGGAAAGCAAAAACUGGUGGAAUGAGCUAUUCCAUUGCUAGCAGAUGAGGUUAAUUUGAGUAUAAUUAUUGACCCACGACUUCAAAAUAUUGAUUAUCCUUCAAAGGAAGCAUUUAAGUUCGCUCAACUUAUUUCAAACUGUCUUCAAGCAAAACAAGACAAACGCCCAUCAAUGGAAUACAUAGCGCAGGGCUUGCAUCAUUGCUAUCAAAAUGAAAUCAAAAACAGUUUGACUCUUAAAAGUCAAGCAUAAUAGGUCGUAUGUUAAUAGACAUGUAAAUGUAAAGUAUAAAAUCCUGGAAAUCAACCGAAUUAACAAGUAGGGAAGAUAGUAAUGAAUGAA